CGGGGCGUCUCGGAGACCCUAGUCUUCACCCGGCCCACGAGCCUGGCAAGUCCACCGACCGAUCCCUAAGCCGGGUCUUUCUCUUGGAAACCUCGUCAGCAUCCUGCCUGACGUCUUAUGAGAUUUAUUAAAGCCCUAAGAACAACGAGGCUGAUAUCUGAGAUACUCAUUGAAGGCCCGGGAGAAUUAGGUACAGAUGAUGGCACUGUUGAAAAAUCACAAACGAAGCCAAUUUGAGCAAGAACUGUGUUGGUCCUUGGAGCGGGCUGGAGGCCCUUGGGUGAGAAAAACAGCCACAUCCAGGAUUGGGAGGAUUUACUACUUCCAAAGACAGAUAAAUUAAUAGAAAUUGCAAAAGAUAUAAAAGUAUGGGGUGGACAGGUUUAUUACUGUACACGGUGAUUUUCUUUUUUAACGUGCUGUAACUUGUAGCCAUUUUUAUUAAUGGGCCAAUCUAAACAGGGUUGAAAGAUUAACUGUGACUCCACCCCAAGUCACAAUAGGAUCCUGUACUUCUCUUUUUAUAGCUGUGAAGACUGGGAAUCAUUCUUGGCUCAGUGUAAUGUUUAUAAGGCAUGGCUCAUCUCAUUGAAUGAAAUUUUUUAAAAAAGAGUUUGAAGUUUGAGUUUAUGAUAGCAAUAAAAGUACUCUAUAUUCCUGGAUUAAAGUUGCUUUAAUUAAUGAGAAAAGUAAGCCAGCCAAAAGAAACUGGUGACAAUUUAAGAAGAGUAUUGAAAAACCACUGCAAUACUUGCCAGGGCCAUGCCACUCUACAGUUCAAACAUUUGCACACCCAAUUCGUUUAACCUUCACAACACUCAUGUGAGGGCAGCAUAGAGGCUGUCCUUAUUUUAUGGAUGAGAAAACCAAAGCUCAAAGAAACUAAGUGAUGGUCCAGGUUCUCAUAAGAACCGAGUGGUUGAGAAGACCUCUGGAACCAGCAGCCAUCCUAACUGCAUGGACUGAACUUUGAAAGACUAUUGCUCAGCACUCUUCACCUUAUCCAUUCAGAUAAGAUCACGAAGAUGGACGAAUAUGCUGAGCUGACUCAUUCCCCUCAGUAUAGAGCAGUCAUCUUCGUGGUGACAUUCAUCCUGACGAUGCUAAACAGGUUGACAUAUGGUGUCAGAAGUGAGAUUGGAAGUGAUCUCACCUUCAUGGACUGGCAUUCCCUGGAAAUGUGUUUAAUACCAACAUGAGCCCCUUUGUGUGUUCAGCUGCUUCCAAGGACAGCUGACUCCUCCAAUUGUGGGACCCCUCAGAAAUGGUGUGCACUGCCUGCGGAGGCCAGGAAGUCACCUGAGAAAUCCACGCCCAUGAAGCCACGUGAGCCUGCAUUAGCCUACUGAAUGACGUCAGCUGGAGAGAAGCAGCCAACAGCUAGCAUCACGGCCCUGGUCCUGUAAGUGAGGUCAUCUUAGAUCAUCCUGCUCCAGUCAACCCACCAGAAGAUUGCAAGCUUUUGAGUGACCCCAGGUGAGACCAGCAGAACUGCCCUGCACAGUGCCCUGUAUGUAUUAGGUGCUCAAUAUAUUUUGAAUGAAGACACGAUUAGACUGCCAAUGCUUGGGGAGAAAGGCCCAAGGAAGAUUAGAAGGUAUAAAUCUCAAAAGCAAACUUUCAGCUACACCUUUUCCACUAAUGAUUUAAAGACCAAGCUUUGAAAAGCUGAAGAAGAAAACAAGUGGAUGCCAGUGUUCGGUGAGGGAGGCCACAGCCGCGCGAAAUUUGUUCUAAAAGUAGGUAGCCACAGAUCCGUCUGCACAUAUCCAAGAGGGUUUCCCCCAGGAGGUGGGAAGGCUGGGGAAGGAAUGGACUGUUUAUAUCCAAGGACCUUUUCGUUUGCUUGGAAGAGCUGUUAAAGACUCUGGUAAAUAAAGGAGACUGAACAUAUGGUGAGCCCUCAAUUCAUAGCAGCCAUUAUCACUGUUGUUAUUAACAUUAUUUUAUCCUCAUCCUCGGGUUCUAGUUUUUCCCCC
ensembl:lncRNA